CACCAAAAAAGCAGUAAAUGAGCACAGACUGCAAAUUUCAACCACGCUUCUCCUAAAGACUGAUGACCUCAAAGACAGGUGUCACUACUGUGGGGAAGAGGAGCAUGACACAGACCAGAAUUGGAUUCAGUGUGAAAUUUGCAAGCGAUGGUUCCACCAUCUGUGUGUUGGAGGGCCACCAACGGAAGAGGACUUCUGUUGCCUUGCUGUGAUGUAUAGGUUCUAUCCGUUAGUGAAGAGAAAGGAGCGUCCACAUUAGUCCAUAUCUGCGUUGUUCAUAAUGGCCUCCACCAUCUCCCAUUCUCAUCUCUCCGAACCCUCCCCGAGUGAAUCCAACCUGGCUGCAACUACAGACAGAGUUUGCUCUCUCCCUGUUUUGUUCAUUCUCCUUCCAUUGUGUGACAUUGAUUAGUAGUGUUUCUAUAUCUAUAAGUGGUGUGUAUGUCAUUUAUUGUAGUCUUGUAUGAUUCCAUGACUUUUUAUUGUCAUUUAUUUAUUUAUUUUUGCUUUCAAUCCUAUUCAGUUUCAGUUAGUGUACAUCGUCUGUC
rnacentral:lncRNA from 1 species